UGGGUUUACAGAUAAACAUAAAUAAUACCUUGUCAGCUGCCAGAGUUUGCGCGUAAAAUAGUUUGAUGAUUUGUUACGAAUGGUUUAAAUUAAAGUAAAUUUUACUUUAUUCAGAAGACGCAAUACUUGCGCAUUUUUCAUCUCUUUGAUUUUGAUGGAUUGAUUGAUAAACUUGCGAUUGGGUUUCCGCCCAUUGAGCGUAUAUGCUCUGAUCGACAGUAUAUUUGGUUCGCAUUGUUAUAAUCUUAGAAGAAAUUCAAAAGGCUCUUCUUAUUGUUUUUAUAUUGUUCCAUACUUCUGUAGGGGAGCCACUUUUUUUUUAAGGAAAUAAAUUAAAAAUUCAACAUGUUUUAAAGAGGGCGUUAAUAGUCGUUUAGGUUAGGUUACCUACGUUAAAAACGUGUUAUAGUAUGGAUAUUUGGUUGGGUUAGGUUAAGAUAUUGUAAAUUUAGUUUUAAGUAGUGAAGACAGUUGUUAGGUUAACCGGUAAAAGUUCCGUUUAACGUAUCCAAGUUUAUCCCUUGAUCCUGAGGGCAUGUUCCUGUAUAUUUUGAUACCUACUGUGGUACAUGAUUGCUAUUUUAAUUUAGUACUUUGAAAGAUCCUGCACAUAACAAAAACUUGUGAUAUAACAAUAAAUUAUGAUCUUAAGUUGAAGAAAGAGGUAAUUAAUGUAUUUUGUAUUCAUCUUACAAUCAUUCAUUGUUAUACCACAAAUUUAUUUUGUCGGGCCAGGAUCUUUCGAUGUACUAAAUUAAAACAAUCAUCAUUACAGGAUCAAUGCAUACAGCAUCAUGCCAUCGUGAUCAAGAGAUUAACUUGGAUACGUGAUACUGAACUUUUAACGGUUAACCUACUUUCCAUUCAAUUUAAAAUUAUGUACCAUGUAACCUAACCAUCAGUUCAUACAAUUUUUAAAGUAUUUUUAAUGUCAUUAACCUAACCUUAUCUAACUAACCGUUCACACUAUGAUAAAGUAUUUUUAAUAUAGGUAACCUAUCCUAACUAACCAUUCUUAUGAUUUUAUGCUAAUUUUAGUGUACCACACCACACAUAACCUCUCUUUGAAGUAGUAAUUUACUGGUUAAACUACUUGAAGUAUAAUCUUGCCCACUUAGAUAAUGGGGAAACAUGUCAGAAAUAAAAAAAAAUCAUUUUGAUAUUUUCAUUAUUACUUUCAUGGAAAUAUGUCUCUCAUUCAGAAUGAUUAAUUUUGGGUAAAAGUUUCGUAACACAUAUCCAAGUUUAUCCCUUGAUUCUAAUGGCAUGGUCCUGAAUACUUUGAUCCUGUGGUACAUGAUACUUGCUGUUUUAAUUUAGUACAUUGAAAGAUCUUGGAUAUAACAUUGUGAUGUAACAAUGAAUUAUGAUCACAUCAGACCAAAUAAAAAUCCAAAAAUGAAUUUUUUUUACUUCCAAACAUUGUUUGUAUUGUAAUACGUUUGUUAUGUUCAGGAUCUGUCGACAUACUAAAUUAAAACAGCAUAAAUCAUGUACCACAGGAUCAGUCAUACAGGAUCAUGCCAUCAGGAUCAAGAGAUAAACUCGGAUAUGUGAUAUGGAACAAUUAUAUUUUUUUGUGGGAGAAAAAGAUAGGGAGAGUUCACGGAAGUUGGUUAUUUUAGUGACAUUUAACAUACAGCAAACUGUUUGGCAAGUUGAUUAGGGUAGUGAAAUUUUAAAUAAUGUCAAACUGUAUAAAAAUUCUGCUAUGUUAUGUUAGUGACAUUAAAAAAUACGGGGAAAAAAACUGGUUGAGUGGUUAUUUAGAUUAGGUUAGUGAUAUUAGAAACAUUGCAAAACCAUUUGAAAGCAUUGGUAUGUUUACAGAAGCAGUCCCCUGGGGUAUCACAACUUCCUAGAGAGGAGGAACCAAUUAGAAGCCCAUCAGGAGUGGACAACGUCAUCGCUGCUGGGACUACACCGUCAAGAAACCGCCUGCUGUCGCCGCCUCGACCAUCAGGACUUGUGUUUGUACAUGCGAGCGGACAUCCUGAGUCGCCACUCAUGCAGACCACCAAGUAGCGAACCUGGAGGCAAAGUGCCUAGGGAGAAUGAGUGCAGCUGACUUGGUGGUCUACUAGCUCGCCCCACAUCCCUGGGCAGCGACACAGAGGUUGCGCAGGCAGCGUGGGAUCGAUGCCUUGACACCCCUAGAAGUUUCUAAAAACAGGAACAGUGCUGGACCUGUUUAGCAGUGCCUCAGAAGAGAUCAGUACGCAGUACCGAGCCUUGUCCAAGCAGUACCACCCCGACGAGGCAAAUGAUCCUGUGCCAAACAGGGUCAACCAGGAGAGGUUCGUGGUGCUGCCGCAGGCCUACAGUACCCUCUCAAGGAUCAAGUCGUGAAGGCGUCAGAGAAGUCCCAGAAGGAGCUGUAGCUGUCAAUGGCGGGUUUGCCUGUGGCAUCUCGGAGGGAUACGAGGGACCAGCUGAAGAUACCCUUUAUGGCAGAAGAGAAUUAAAAGUUACUCUCAAAAUUUUCUUGGAAAAUUAGAGAGAUAGUUUCUUUGAUAAUAAAAUAAUAUAUCUUUAGAGGAGAUUUUCUUGCAUUGGGAGUUAAAUGGAAUUGAUCAAAAGAGGCGGGCAAAAGCGCAAAAUGACUUAAUAUUUUGCUGAGCGAUGGAGAAAAUGUACGAGUGUGUCCGUUAUUCUAAAAUAUCAGUUGUGUAAUCAAUAAUUUUACUAAAAUGUAUGUUUGAAGUUAUACUUCUUUAGGUGUGUUAUGAAAAAAAAUAAUAAGAGUGAAUUUUUACGAUAUUCACACACUAUGCAACAACAUUUUCACAUUAUUAAAAUAAGGCUACAUGCAAAAAAGGUUACAUAGAAAUAAAAAGUUAUGUAUGUGCUUUUAAAUCUCAUAGUUCAGGAAUUAAUAUUGAAUACUGGUCCAUAUCAUUAAAAAAUUUAUUUAUUGUGGAUUUUAGGGCUAUAAAUUGUGUUUAUAAACUUUUUGAAGUAUAUUUUUCAGUGUAUUUAUAUAAGUGAUAUUACAUUCCUGUAUAUAUAAUUUAUUUGCAUAUACAUUAUUACAUUAUUUUUAAUAAAUAACUAAAUUUAAUAGUUUAAAAUAAACAUUCAGCAAAUUUAUUGAUUUUUAUUAUUAAUUACUUUUAUCUCGAUUUUAUUAAGAUAAAUAAUUUUAUACACAUAUUUAUAUAAUAUUGAAUAUUUAGUAUUUUUUUUAAAUUUUAAAUUAGGAACCCUAUUUAUAAUAUCACUUCAGUCCUUUUAUUAUUUUAUUUAUAUUAAUUAUUUGCAUGCAAAAUUAGUUAGUUUUUUAUUGCCCCAAGUACAUACAACUUCUAAUGCAUUUACAUAAAUACACGCACUGUACUAUUACAUAGGUGCAGAUCCUUACUGAAACUUUACUUUUAAUAGUUUAUUUCAACUGCAUAGAGAAAAGGAACACAUUUCUGCACUACAGACUUUUAAUACCUACUUCUUUGGUACUGUAUAUCUAUGCAUUUUCUUUAGUGUCAUGUUUGGCAAUCUUUUAUAUGUGUAUUUUAACUGCUAUGUGUUGAUGUCUUAUUAUCAAAAUUGCAGUAAUUUGUAUAAGAGAUAAAAUUAUGCUAGCUGUGAUAUGGAAAAAAUUUUAAUCCGCCAGUAAAGUUAAGCAACAACCGGGUUGGUUGUCAGCCUGUCUAGCGCACUAUUUAAAUGGUAUGUUAACUCAGGUUAUUGGCUGUAAUUGUUUUAAAAUUGUGCGAUAGUAAACCAGGAGGUAGAGAGAUUAAAAAGAUGGCUCUUUUAUCAUUAUGGAGGAACAAUGUAUAUAAUUUGGCUUGGCCAAAUUUAUGGUUUAACGGAUAUACUCGGCAUAUAUCGUAGUUGAAUACUGUUUAAGUUUAUAGCCAAAUGAGCCUAUAAGUAUUUCUGAUAUUUAGUUUGUGUGGCUGAAGUAUUACUCCGAAGAUGUUAAAUAUAUAAAAAUAAGUUGUUGAUUUUAUAAAUGGCCAUAGCCAUUUUGGUAUUAAAUGUAAUGAUAAUUACUUUUAUUCUUCAAGUUAAGUGUGAUAGCACGUAACAAGUCGCGCUAUCGCACAUAACAAGUCACGCUUUGCACCUCUAUACUGCGGAAAGAAUUCCUGUCAAGGAUUUGGAUGCAUAGUAGGGACUCGAUAAAUUUUUUAAAGUUAGUACUUACAUUAAAUUGCGUUACAAUGUCCAAAUCAAAUAUAUAUCUGUUCUUAUGUAUGGAAAACCACAGGAUCGGCAAUGCAAUUAAAGCAUAACAUGAUGCUGGCCACUUCACUGCAUAGGCUAUCAAAUGUGAACUACAAAUGGUAAUUUCUAAGAAACCUGUUGGAAUUAAGAAACGUGAGGAACAUCUUUAGUUUUUGAUAAAUGUAUUUCCCAAACUUUAUUAUUUUAUUUAUGGAAAAGCAGUGAUGCAAGAAAAUUACGUACUGUCUGCAAUAGUUAAUAGCUAAAUCCAGAGAUAAUGUACUUGAUUAAAAGAACUCUGCCUCUAACCAACCGAGCAUGUAAUUUUCAUCAUUUUUUUUUGCUUGAACCCAGAGAAUUAAGAACUGAAUAUCAAGUGCCUAAUGUUAAAUAAAUUGAUUCAUGAACACUUUUAACCAACUUUUGAACUUUUGAAAUACAGAGCACCAGAAUUAUUUCUUAGCUAGGGAAUCAAUAUUUUCUUAAUUUUAUUAAUGUGGAACUAUUUUUUUUUUAAAUUGAGAUGCCCUACGUCUCAAGUAUAUAUUUUUUACAUGUAAUUUGAAUUAAUUAAGCACAUCAUUAGCUUUUUUUAUUUACUCUUAAUCUUAAUUUAUUUGUUACCCACGAUUAAGACUUUUAGCAGGACACAAUUAAAGACUCUUUUCGGUACGUGCGCCAUAGCUUGUGUUUUGCGCACCAUAUUUGGGUGAUGGGUCGUACCAUAACUUUUGUUAUUUUGUGUUGGUACGCAAGCUGACCACUGCGCGGUGCAAUGAUUGACGGCGAUGUGGCCUGUUGGAUUGGAGCUGCUGACCGAGGUGGUCGUGCUGACGACUCGUGGACCGGAUUGGUUUUUCCUACCCAGACUGUAUCAACUUCCCUUGCGACCGCCUUCCAUGCGCUCUGGCAGCGGGCGUUUCGGUGGAGACUACAGCACCGAUAUCACAAUGGCAGAUCUGAAAGUAGAAUGGAAGAGACUGCAAGACAGCUAUCGUCAAGCAUUGCUAAGAAGGAAAAGUAAGAGUGGUGAUGGGGCAAAAACCAUGAAAGUGUGGAAGUUUGACCAGCAGAUGUCUUUCCUCCAACCAAAUGUAUUAGGGAGAGAAACACAUUCCAAUGUUGAUUUGCAAUGCACUUCUCAAGAGGCCCAGGAAAUACCGGCCAGCCCAGAUGUGAAUGAACACCUUGAAUGCCAGGUUGAAGAAAUAUCAAAUGAUACUCGACCUAAGAGGAAGAGAGUCAGCACUGACGUGAAACGAGAUGUGGAUAAGGUACUUUCCUACAUGAUGCAAAACAAAAAAGAAAACAAAAAGCAACUGGGCGAUAUAGAUUACUUCUUUGUGAGUGUUUGUGAAAGUACCAAGUGCCUCCCUCAACCUGUGCAGCUCAAAAUCAAAAAAGAAGUGAUGAAUGUUGUCGUAAGUGCCGAAAUGGAACAUGAACUUCAAGUUUCCGAUUCCUCUUCAUCUUUUAAUGUGGUUUAAACACCAUCGCCUUACUUAUUACUUCCACAGACAUCAACACCUUCACCUGCUUUCCAUGUGGAAAUACCACUGUCACCAAACUAUGAAACAGAAGCCGACUUAUAAUUAUUUCAACUUUGUUAAAUUGGUUAUCUGCUAUAAAUAUUAGUAACAUUUCCCCUAUGAGUUAAUCCUUAAAAAUAUGUGUGUAUAUUGCAGUGUACCCUCAUGCUGGGUAUUUAUGGAAUAAUAUUGAUUUAAAAUUUUUAUUCAUACUAUUCCUUUUACUUAACGUGUUGAUAUUAAUCGCUAAAGAAUUAUAUCGUAAUGAAUUCAUUGUUUACUUACCUCAAGCAAACUGCUAAACGUUCUUCUGCUCCAAUGCUUUUUCUGUAAUUUAAAUUCUUUUUAUCAAUUUUAUUCUUGAUUAGCAAUAAUAUGCUAUCAAACUGAGUUGUAUUUAUUCUAAAGUAUUCAAUAAAUUUGGCCUCGUCCGCAUGCAACUGCUACAUUAAAUGAUGAAAUUCACCAAAUUCAUUUCUUUUGAGAUUCAAUUCAUGAACCCAUUUUUUUUUUCGUUUGCAUACUGUGAGAGCCAACAGAAUAUCAUCCUCAUCGAAAUCAUCACUCGAAUCCCACGGCAUGCACCUCGCCGACAUCGCAAACUGCACUUUUCUGUGUGGCCACCUCGCGCAGCAAACAUAGCGGACAUAGCGAACAUAGCGAACAUAGCGUAGCUUUCUGUGUGGCCGAAGCUUAAGUCACAUGAAAAUUAUCUCUGACAUAGAAAUCAGCAGAUAUAUGUGAAGACUAGAUUUGUUUUGUAAUUUUUUAUUAUACUUUUUAUUCAAAAAAAAAUAACCCUAUGUUAUGAAAAAAAAAAAACUUUACUGAAUGGUCUUGAAAUGGUUCACUUGGUAUUUACAGAGUCUGAUAGUGAAAUUUGUGAAACAUCUUCCGAUGAAAUGUCAAGAUUUUUUUUUAAUGGAUUUGCAUUUUAAAACAGUGUGUAAGACUUCAAUGUACCAUUUUAUCCAAACAUUUAAAUGUUACAUUACUUGGCAAUGUGGAAAAUAUUGCCAAUCCAAUAAUCUUCUCAGUGACAAAACACUGGCAUUUCCUUGACAGUUUAACCUUUAAAGCUACUCACAUCACAUUACUGAACUAUUUGUUGAAUGAAAUGCCGUAUGUGUUUGCUUGCAGGGUGUUCACAGUCUGGAAAGUCAAGAAAAAUCAUGGAAGCGUCGGGAAAGUUGGAAAUGGUCAGGAAAGGUCAGGGGAUUUAAUUCAAAUCUGGGAAAAGUCAUGGAAAAUCUUCGUGAUAAUAAUGUAGUUUUUUUUUUUUUUAAUUUGCCAGGUCUAGCUCUUUUUAAUAUGAGCAGAAUAUUAUUUAUGGGCAUUGUUGAAUUGCAAUGAUGUCUCUCGUACACAAAAAUGUUUUUUACGGUUUAUUUAUACCUUACGAAUUCACGAGACAUUUGCCGCCAUCUUGCGACCACAACAUUUACAAGUUGAAACAGUAUUUUCCUUACAACGAAUAAGUUUCAUUAAUUUGAAUCACACCCUGACUGGCCGAAAAUUGAAUGUUAAAAACAGUUCAAAGUUAAGUCCCACAGUUGCACUCAACUUUUCGGUACAAUGCCGAAGGACAAUGUCCUCGGAAACAAUGACGAAUUUUACUAAGUCAUAUUUUAGGCGAUUACCAACGACUGUAGUCACUAAAUUCUAAUUUAUGUCCAAUAAAAACGAAAAUAAGGUUGAUUAUAAACCGGUGACGCCUGGACCACAGCCGCGAAAAUGACUCUUAAACCUUUAUAAUAUAAUGUUUUGAGCCACCUACUCAACUACUCACCUCCUCGGUCACUGUUCAGUAGAAGACUAAAAAACCAAAACGACACACUGGUCUCAGGAGAGACCAAGGAUUGCACCAUGACGUAACUUUCGGCCAAUCACAGCACAGUAUCAAACACUCCCUCCAACACCAGCCAAUCACAGAACAAAUUACAAUACAUGAAAAAACCCUGUACACACAUAACCCGGGACUUCCCUUGAUCUGUCUCUUUUCAAAUCCACAUCAAAAUCGGGGACUCCCAAAAUAUCUUCUCACGUUAGUUGCUCUGUCUCUGCCUUACACCGGAUGCAUCAUUAUCGUUUUAUCACCUCAGCGUCACUGUGUUGACGCACGCCUUUCUUUCUCACUCUAACUGCCACGCAACUGGCUCUCAUGAUUGCAUCAUCCCACAGACAAAAUUACAAAAGAAAAAUACGUUACAGUGCAUUUACGCAUACAAACAAAAUAUUUAAAGCUUAAAAACCAUUUUAAAACAUAUAAAAACGUAAUUAUUUAGGUAGAAUUCGGUAAAUUUACAGUUAUAUGGCUGUUUCAUAAUAAAGAAAAUAGGCUUAAACAAUACACAAAUAUUAUAAACAGUAAUUAUUUGAGAGAGUACAUUCAUAAAACAUAAAUAAACAUAAAUAUUAACCUGGAAAACAAUUAUAAAUGGUAAAAUAUUAUCAUCAAAGUUAUUUGAAAAGAUCAAUUGUAAGUUUCAAUGAUUUACCACAUGUACCACAGUUAGGUUAUGAUGCCUGAAAAUUAUUUAAACAACUUACAUACUGUAUUACUGUUAAAACAUAUUAUUCAUAAAAACUUAAAGAAAAAUUGGGGAAGGCACUGUCCUGCAAUGCUAGAUAUUUAUCUUCAUUUUUUGACAACACAUGCAUAUCUUCAGCCCUGUAGCCACAUUAACACACAAACUUUUACCACACAAUUGUUAAAAGAUUUUAUUCAAACAUUUUUACUUUAUUAACAAAAUUUAGACUACCAUGUUAUUUUAUUCGUAAAACUCUCCAUAUACACCCUGAUUUUAAAUAACAUAUUACCCUUCCUCCAUACAAAACUAACAUUGCAAAGAACCAUAAUUUUGUCUAUGACAGAGUAAAAAUAAAACACUAAAUUUUAUUUUGUCACAAAAAAAAAUCUUCUUUAUUUUUACAGAAUGCUGCUUCAAAACAGUCACUGUUAAAUUAGUACAUCUGUUGUUUCACCAAAAGCAUAUUAACCCUAAAUAUUUUAUCAUGAGAGGUAUAUAUUUUUUUGUGUUGUUAUUCUCACUGCUUCCAUUUUUUAAAAAUAUUGUUAUGAAUGCGAGAGACCACACCACGGUGCCAUGUUAGGAGCUGGCUGGUGGCCCUACAAGGCCACUGGAGCCGAGUCACAUGCGGUCCACUGACGUAAGGCAUGCCACGCGCACCUGGCCAGAUUACAAUGGUCGUCGCCACCUCAUCGCCCUGCUCAUCGUCCUGCCUCGGUGCUGUGAUCUAUUACUGAGCGACCUUGGGAAUUCCGAGGGCCGCAGUGCGGAGUAGUGAGAAUAAACGAUGCCCUUCUGGAAUGUUUGGGCUUCGGGUCGGCCCGGGAUGACGCGACUUGUCACAACCACUCUCGUCAGUUCGAGAAGGGCGCUCAGGUACUUAAGCAGCGAUGCCAGUCUACACGACAGUUUUUGGUGACGAGUUCUGCGAGGAGUGCGGCGAGAGUCCCGCGAGAGUCCAACGAUGGUGAGUGGCGCGAGUGCGAUGAGAGGUCCGUGGAGUGCUGCGUAAGUGCCGAGUUCCGAGUGGAUUCAGAGCGAAGGGAAGUGUGACAUCUGCGAAGAAGGUGAAAGCCCCCCCUGAAAGUAGCGCAACGUGGAGUUCGACUGGAUCGUGAGAGUGCAGCGACUGAGUGGCGCAAGACUGUUUGUGAACAGGUGCAGAGUAAGGUGCGAACCACGGUUGAGUCUAGCUCCAAUGAGGAGUGCGAACUGCGGAACUUGACAGACAUUGAGUGACUUGAGAAUAAACAUUUUUAAGUGCCAUUGAUUUGAGAUCGGACACAUUUAAGUACAAUUAUUUAUUAUUAAUGUAAAUAUUAGUAUUCAAUAAAACAGUAAUAUAACUUAAUUGGGCUAUUCCUUGCAAACCCAUUUCUCCCCACAUAGGACGUAAAAAUGUGAUACAUGUGCUUUAACUAAUAACAAAUAAACUUUUAAUAAAAGAACAUAGAUCACAUGAAGAAUAUAACACUAGAAUCCAUUAAUUAAUAGGUCAGAGAGUACAUAAACAUUACAUACAUUCACUCUCUUUGAGACCUGAAUCUUCUAUGAUACGUCGAACACACUUAUCCCCAAGCUUUGAUGCAUCGUAGAACACAGAGACUCUUCCGCGUACAUCUCUGAAGUUGUCGGUCAAGUAGCGCCUGUUACUACAACUGGUGGUCGUCCGGUGGCACGGUAGCAGAUGCCUAAGCCAGCCGUUCCGAACUCUGCUGCUUGUGUUGUUGUUGACAUCUCAGCCACAGCAGAAGGUAGCACGCAGCGGAAUGCUACUCUCGUCACAUCUUGUUUGAUGCCUCACAUGGUCCAACAUACCACAUUUUGUUUUUCAACACUCAGUUCUGACGAUGCUACACACAUACUAUUGUUUAUGUGGUGUUAUUUCACUCGUGCCAUUACUAGUAUCACUCUUUCAAUAAAAUUAUUUAUUGAAAAAAUGUUUGUCCAGUACA